CUUCCUGCGCGCUUCCCUGGCCUCCGCCAGGUUCGGGACGCCAUGGCUGCGCCGCCGGCCUCCGCGGACGCUACCCCUUCGUCCCUACAAUCCGCUGUGGCCCCAGACGCGCCUGGCCGCCCGGCCGAGCAAACUGAGACCGCGUGUGAGGACCGCAGCAACACAGGGUCCUUGGACAGACUCCUCCCACCCGUGGGUACCGGGCGCUCGCCCCGGAAGCGUACCACCAGCCAGUGCAAGUCAGAGCCACCCCUGCUCCGCACAAGCAAACGCACCAUCUACACAGCUGGGCGGCCACCAUGGUACAAUGAACAUGGCACACAGUCCAAGGAGGCCUUUGCCAUUGGCUUGGGAGGUGGCAGUGCAUCUGGGAAGACCACCGUAGCCAGGAUGAUCAUUGAAGCGCUAGAUGUGCCCUGGGUGGUCCUACUGUCCAUGGACUCCUUCUAUAAGGUUCUGACACAGCAGCAGCAGGAACAGGCUGCCUGUAACAACUUCAACUUCGACCACCCUGAUGCCUUUGAUUUUGACCUCAUCAUUUCGACCCUCAAGAAACUAAAGCAGGGCAGGAGCGUCCAAAUACCCAUCUAUGACUUCACCACCCAUAGCCGGAAAAAGGACUGGAAAACACUGUAUGGUGCAAAUGUCAUCAUCUUUGAGGGUAUCAUGGCCUUUGCUGACAAGACACUGCUGGAGCUCCUAGACAUGAAGAUCUUUGUAGACACAGAUUCUGAUAUCCGACUGGUACGGCGGCUACGCCGGGACAUCAGCGAGCGAGGUCGGGAUAUUGAGGGCGUCAUUAAGCAGUACAACAAGUUUGUCAAGCCUGCCUUCGAUCAGUAUAUCCAGCCCACCAUGCGCCUGGCAGAUAUUGUAGUGCCCAGAGGGAGCGGGAACACAGUAGCCAUUGACCUGAUUGUGCAGCAUGUUCACAGCCAACUGGAAGAGCGUGAACUCAGCGUCAGGGCUGCGCUGGCCUCAGCCCACCAGUGCCAUCCCCUUCCUCAGACUCUGAGUGUCCUCAAGAGUACACCACAGGUACGAGGCAUGCACACCAUCAUCAGGGACAAGGAGACUAGCCGGGAUGAAUUCAUUUUCUACUCCAAAAGAUUGAUGCGGUUGCUUAUUGAACAUGCGCUGUCCUUCCUACCCUUCCAGGACUGCACUGUACAGACCCCACAGGGACAGGACUACGUGGGAAAGUGCUAUGCUGGAAAGCAGAUCACCGGCGUGUCCAUUCUGCGUGCAGGGGAAACCAUGGAGCCUGCACUGCGUGCCGUGUGCAAGGAUGUGCGCAUCGGCACCAUCCUCAUCCAGACCAACCAGCUCACAGGGGAGCCUGAGCUCCACUACCUAAGACUUCCCAAGGAUAUUAGCGACGACCACGUGAUCCUGAUGGACUGCACAGUAUCCACAGGAGCCGCAGCCAUGAUGGCUGUUCGUGUGCUCCUGGACCAUGAUGUGCCCGAAGACAAGAUCUUCUUGCUAUCCCUGCUCAUGGCAGAGAUGGGUGUGCACUCUGUGGCCUAUGCAUUUCCACGUGUGAGGAUUAUCACCACAGCGGUGGACAAGCGUGUCAAUGACCUUUUCCGUAUCAUCCCAGGCAUCGGGAAUUUUGGCGAUCGCUACUUUGGGACAGAUGCAGUUCCUGAUGGCAGUGAUGAGGAAGAGACAGCCUCUGUGGGUCCCCAUUGGGUGCUGGCUGUGUUAACUGAACAUCAGAAGACUAGGAAGGGUUAUAAACAUUGCACAGAAGAAUUAUCUAAAGUAAUUUAAAAACAGUCAAAAGGAAGACAAGGAAAGACCACAUCAUUGGGCACAAACAGAAAUCUACACUCUAGCCUUGCACCUCCCUCACUGGGAUAGAAGAGAAAGGGGCCACAGAGCCGCAGGCAGGAGGACGUGCUACCAGUCUGCAGCUUUCUACUCAUAACCUGGUUCCUGGCCAUCACGGUGAAAGGGCACCAACAUGAGGGUGAUGGGACCAGCACCCCAGAUUGUCCAGUGGCCUCUUCUUCCUUUGUUCCAAAAUAGACCAAGCAAUGAAUUUCUCAUUCUUUUUUUUUUUUUUUUUUUGAGACAGGGUUUCUCUGUGUAACAGCCCUAGCUGUACUAGAACUCAGAGAUCCGCCUGCCUCUGCUUCUGGAGUGCUGGGAUUAGAGGCGUGCGCCACCACUACCCCGCUAAUUUCUCAUUCUUCUACUAGAUUUGUUUGAGUAGGGAUCUUACUGUAUAAAGCCCAGACUGGCCUGCAACUCAAGGUCUUUCUACCUCCCUAGUGCUGGGAUUACAGGCAAGUCCCACUACGUGUAGCCAUAGGUCUGAUGUUUACAAAUUAUUUCUAACUCAGUAUGAUAAUGAAUAGCCCUAAAAUCCUAUAAAGAAUAAAACAUACAAACCCAUAGUAGGACUUUGAAGCCAGCUUCUGGCUCAUGUAAUUCUCCUGUAGGGUCAGCUGGGAACCCUGGCAUCAAUGUCUCCCAGGACCUGGACAGGCCCCUCAAUAACUGCCAAGUUUGCACUCACAAUGCAACCUCUUCUUGCAGCUUCCUGUCAACCUGAUCUGAUCCCUGAAGGCCCUGGUGAGCAGGGGCCAGGAGGUGGAUGGUGGUUUUGGAAACACAUGGUGGUUUGUCUGAGCUACCACAUGAGCCUUCUCCUUCUUCCUCUGUACUGGAAAUGCGGACGGUCAGUAGCAGCCAGCAGAAGGUUCUGGAGGAACCUGGCUCACUGAAGUCUGGCACAGCUAAUCCAGCUAACUCUAAAAGGCUGGCAUCCCAGGUCCAGUAACUGUCACCAAAGCUUCCCUAAAAGUCAACCCUUCCGAGUCAGGGGCACCAGGAACCCAGCACUCCAGCUCUGCCAGAGGCAUGGAUGACGACAGAUGGAGCUCUGGCAAGCACAGGAGGACUCUUUAUAAGCAGCUACAUGCCACCCACAACUGGACUCAAAGACUUUCUGACUAUGGCUAAGUGGCAAGUGCUACCAUUUGUGGUUUUUAAAGUCCCCCAAAAAAAUAAAAAAUAAAAAUGAACAAGGUUGGCUUGAGGAAUGUGGAAGAUGACCCAGGAAUGAGGAAAGGAGGCUGUGGCCCCGUCAAUCCAGCUUUUGACCUGGAAAGGUGCAGAACAGAGACAAAUGAUUUCCCACACACCAGCAAGGGACCUGCCUCCAAUGACAGGAUUUCAGUCCACAAGGCCAGCAGACCCAAGACAGAGACACUACAGAGUGUGCUCUCCCUUUCAGAAGGGCAUACCUGCACUCUCCACAGCAGAUCUAACAGGAACCCAUGAAAGCUUCCCAACACGAACACUGAUGCUGGUGGUGCCUGGGAGGAUGGGGCCCAGCUCCCUCCUUCGCAGGUGAAAUCAGAACCCUGUCUGCAGCCUUGAGGAUGCGAUCAGAGCCAUGAACUAGACCAUGUCACAGGACACAGAGGCCAACAUGGAGAUGUAGCUCCAGGUGCCUACCUGACUCCUGUAAGCACAAGGAGACAGCUGAACCUCACUGGACCCACUUGGCUGAAAACCCAAGACAGCACUACCAUCCAGUUAAUUCAGCCCAGCUGCGGCACAUCCACAACACAGACACUGAACAUAACCCAUACAUGCUAUUAAACAAAAGGGUAAAACAGAAGAAGACCGUAGCUA